GCAUGUAUGGCUGAGUGGUUAAAAGCGACGGACUCAUAAUCCGUUUAUUUUUUAAUAGAACGUAGGUUCAAAUCCUACUACAUGCA
rnacentral:tRNA from 1 species